AUAAUACUCCCUCUGUCCCAAAAUUCUUGUCUUAGAUUUGUCUAAAUACGGAUGUAUCAAGUCACAUUUUAGUAUUAGAUACAUCCGUAUCUAGACAAAUCUAAGACAAGAAUUUUGGGACGGAGGGAGUAUUAC
rnacentral:pre_miRNA from 1 species